rnacentral:lncRNA from 1 species
CCCUGAUAUAAGCAUUAUGCUGGAAUAAGGCAACCAAAGCACUAGAAGCAUUGUAGGGGAAUUUAAAUGGGUGCCUCCUUGUGUGUGUAGAGAGACAGAGAUUCCUAUAGGGGUUUUUUUUUGGGGGGGGGGGGCUGUCAGAGCAACAAUAAACUGAGCACCAAAAACCAGUUUUCAUAUGGCAAAGCUUGUUGGGGAGAAAUGGACUUCAGCCAUUGCAGUUACACCAUGGUGUCCCCUUCCAUAUUUACAUCUGGAUCACAAGAAAAGGUGUCUGUUGGGAUAAUAUCUACUUUGUUAUAUGAGGUUAAAGUAAUAAUUGUAACAACAGAGAUUAAUUUGCCCAUUAUUAACAGUAAAAAAAGAAAGAAAAUAAAAAUGACCACAAGAUGGUGCCAUCAUCUUGAAGUAUAUAUAAAAGCCUGAAAAGAACAUGUUAGCUAACUUGUUUUGAAGACUGUCUUCCAAAAGCUAUUUAACAGCCCCCCUGGGAAAUUUUUGGAAAGGCAUAAUAUUUCAGUCAGUGCAGAAUUCACAAUGGUUUUUAAAAGUUUAUUUUUGUUGUUUGUGUUUGGUUUUUUUAAGAACUGUGGGCAUUUCCAGGUGACCUGGAAUACUGAGCAUUCAUCUUAAUUAGUUCUUAGAGAAGUUAGGACAUUCAUUUUGAUUUGCUUGUGAGGAGUUUAGACAAUGUUAUAUCAAAAUUUCAAUCCUUUGAAGAAGCAGAUUUGUUACACGAGUCCUCCAAAACAACUUUAAUUGCACAAACUGGAUUUGCUGAUAGGUGAUUGAAUCCCACCUGAAAAUACUGAAAAUCUGGAAGUGCCCUGUGAAACAGGAGGGCUUAAUAACAGGCAUGGAAGGAAAAUAAACAGAAUGUUGUCAGGAUAAAAGCAAUGGACAAAAUUCAUUUGUGAAAAAUUGAGUUCCAUGAGGACUCAGGAGGGGACAAGGGCCUAAGGCAAGAGAUGCACUGAAUUUUUUUCACAAGGGAUGCAGAUCAAAUUCAAACAAGAGCUGAGCUUUUAACACCCUGAAAUUCUUUUCUACUUUGGGUUAAAAUUUGCGCUGAAGAAAAAUUCCCAGCUUACGUCCUCCCACACCAAUCCUCAAGUACUCUCCUCAUGAAUCCCCCCCCCCAGCGCCCACCUACUCUUCUGCUUAAGGCCUUUCCUGGUGUUUGUGGGAGUAGUGGCAACACAGAGAGGCAGGAAAAGAGGCAGAUCCCCACCAGAAUGCUUGACAUCCUUACGGGCUGUUAUGCUUGUUUGCAGAUACACAGCACAUCAGUACCCUAUCCCAGGACCCAGUGGCCACUGAGAGAUUUGAGUUUUCCUGAGAACGACUACAAUCCUAAACCCUGUGGAUAUUCAGGAAUUUUGCUGUAAGGUAUGGUCUCACUCUCACUGGUACACCCCCUGGCAUCUGCAGUCCUUGUUAGCCUCCAUUAUAGCUGCUGGGGUGGAACGAGUUCCUAUGUGCGCUUAUGAUUGGAGUACAGCAAGACACCUAAGGAUACAUCAAUGUCAAUAAUCUGCUCUUCAUUGUUCUCCUUGGCUGCUUGUGCUUCUUUUUGCCAAGUAUGGGGGACCUGUGGCUGUGGUACUCUAGCUUCUAUCAGUCCCCACCAGCAUAGCCAGGGGUCAGAGAUUCAGAGCGUUGUAGUUCAACAUCUGGAAGGCCACAAUUUCCCCAUACCUGGUUUUUGCAAAGUGCCUGUGGCGUUUGCCUCCUAGGAUGGGUCAUAAGGAAAGGGUUAAAGGGUUAGAGUGGGAGGUUUUGAAAGUCAGUUGAGGUUUGGGAGUUGAAGAAGGAAGAGGGAGGAUUAGGUGUGGGUUGGUAGAGUUGUAUUGUGAGAGAGUGAGAGGAAUUGUUAGGUGGAGUCAGAUAGAUAGUUGGGAAUAAUCAGUUUGAAGCUGUUAGGAACUAAGAAUAAGAAACUGCCCAUAAAAAUUAACUGUAACCAUAAGCUUGUUCCU